GGUUAUAAACCAAGGGAUGCAGCAACGGCCAUAUACCUAGCUGUUUGUGACUUUGUACAAUUUCAUGGCGACAGCUGUCAUUUGGAAGUUAUAAAAAUUGUCGUAUAUCAGACAGAGGAAAACACAUUUCAGGCAUUUAAGAAAGUAGAAGCAGAAAUGAAACCAGAAUUGGCUACCCUGAUGACGCGUUUUUGAAACGGGUAAGAGGAAAAAUGACUACGGGGCAUAACUGGACACUUUG